AGAGUUUGAUCCUGGCUCAGGAUGAACGCUGGCGGCGUGCUUAACACAUGCAAGUCGAACGAAGCACUUUAUUUGAUUUCUUCGGAAUGAAGAUUUUGUGACUGAGUGGCGGACGGGUGAGUAACGCGUGGGUAACCUGCCUCAUACAGGGGGAUAACAGUUGGAAACGACUGCUAAUACCGCAUAAGCGCACAGGGUCGCAUGACCUGGUGUGAAAAACUCCGGUGGUAUGAGAUGGACCCGCGUCUGAUUAGCCAGUUGGUGGGGUAACGGCCUACCAAAGCGACGAUCAGUAGCCGACCUGAGAGGGUGACCGGCCACAUUGGGACUGAGACACGGCCCAAACUCCUACGGGAGGCAGCAGUGGGGAAUAUUGCACAAUGGGGGAAACCCUGAUGCAGCGACGCCGCGUGAGCGAAGAAGUAUUUCGGUAUGUAAAGCUCUAUCAGCAGGGGAGAAGAAAUGACGGUACCUGACUAAGAAGCACCGGCUAAAUACGUGCCAGCAGCCGCGGUAAUACGUAUGGUGCAAGCGUUAUCCGGAUUUACUGGGUGUAAAGGGAGCGCGGGCGGUACGGCAAGUCUGAUGUGAAAGCCCGGGGCUCAACCCCGGUACUGCAUUGGAAACUGUCGGACUAGAGUGUCGGAGGGGUAAGUGGAAUUCCUAGUGUAGCGGUGAAAUGCGUAGAUAUCGGGAGGAACACCAGUGGCGAAGGCGGCCUACUGGGCACCAACUGACGCUGAGGCUCGAAAGUGUGGGUAGCAAACAGGAUUAGAUACCCUGGUAGUCCACACUGUAAACGAUGAUUACUAGGUGUUGGAGGAUUGACCCCUUCAGUGCCGCAGUUAACACAAUAAGUAAUCCACCUGGGGAGUACGACCGCAAGGUUGAAACUCAAAGGAAUUGACGGGGGCCCGCACAAGCAGUGGAGUAUGUGGUUUAAUUCGACGCAACGCGAAGAACCUUACCAAGUCUUGACAUCCUGCGACGCACAUAGAAAUAUGUGUUUCCUUCGGGACGCAGAGACAGGUGGUGCAUGGUUGUCGUCAGCUCGUGUCGUGAGAUGUUGGGUUAAGUCCCGCAACGAGCGCAACCCCUAUCCCCAGUAGCCAGCAGUCCGGCUGGGCACUCUGAGGAGACUGCCAGGGAUAACCUGGAGGAAGGCGGGGAUGACGUCAAAUCAUCAUGCCCCUUAUGAUUUGGGCUACACACGUGCUACAAUGGCGUAAACAAAGGGAAGCGAGCCUGCGAAGGUAAGCAAAUCCCAAAAAUAACGUCCCAGUUCGGACUGCAGUCUGCAACUCGACUGCACGAAGCUGGAAUCGCUAGUAAUCGCGGAUCAGAAUGCCGCGGUGAGUACGUUCCCGGGUCUUGUACACACCGCCCGUCACACCAUGGGAGUCAGUAACGCCCGAAGUCAGUGACCUAACUGCAAAGAAGGAGCUGCCGAAGGCGGGACCGAUGACUGGGGUGAAGUCGUAACAAGGUA
rnacentral:rRNA from 1 species